GGACGGGUGAGUAACGCGUGAGUAACCUGCCUUACACAAGGGGAUAGCCGUUGGAAACGACGAAUAAUACCCUAUGAAACUAUCACUUCGCAUGAAGCGAUAGUCAAAGUGUUAGCGGUGUAAGAUGGACUUGCGUCUGAUUAGCUAGUUGGUGAGAAAAAAGCCCACCAAGGCAACGAUCAGUAGCCGGCUUGAGAGAGUGUACGGCCACAUUGGGACUGAGACACGGCCCAG
rnacentral:rRNA from 1 species